AUUGAACGCUGGCGGCAGGCCUAACACAUGCAAGUCGAACGGUAACAGGAAGAAGCUUGCUUCUUUGCUGACGAGUGGCGGACGGGUGAGUAAUGUCUGGGAAACUGCCUGAUGGAGGGGGAUAACUACUGGAAACGGCAGCUAAUACCGCAUAACGUCGCAAGACCAAGGAGGGGGACCUUCGGGCCUCUUGCCAUCGGAUGUGCCCAGAUGGGAUUAGCUAGUAGGUGGGGUAACGGCUCACCUAGGCGACGAUCCCUAGCUGGUCUGAGAGGAUGACCAGCCACACUGGAACUGAGACACGGUCCAGACUCUUACGGGAGGCAGCAGUGGGGAAUAUUGCACAAUGGGCGCAAGCCUGAUGCAGCCAUGCCGCGUGUAUGAAGAAGGCCUUCGGGUUGUAAAGUACUUUCAGCGGGGAGGAAGGGAGUAAAGUUAAUACCUUUGCUCAUUGACGUUACCCGCAGAAGAAGCACCGGCUAACUCCGUG
rnacentral:rRNA from 1 species